CCCUGCCUACUUGAGGUCUUCUGAAACUCCAGUUCACAAGCAAGAUGAAGUUGACAUGAAUUUUGGCUUUGUGAUGGCAGCUUAGCCUUUGUAAACAGGCUGGUAAAUCAGACUCCCAGAACCAUCUCUAGCAGAACAACUAUUUGAGUUAUUUCUGGAUGUCUCUGAAAAGUAUAGCACAGGAUUUAGGUCACAAGAUAAAUACAAUUAAAAUUCCUCCAGAUGAGAUGUUAUUUGAGUAUCAUCAGAACAGGAUCCUGGAUAGUUGACUCUUCUUGAUGAAUAGUCCUUUGGAGAAAAGAAGAUAAUUCAUAACAGGAUUGCAAUACGACAGGUGAUGAAAGGAAAAUCCUUGAUGAAGAGGAAGAAGUGGAUUUUUGAAUCUCUGAUGGAUGUAGGAUGCCUACUUUUGAUUUGCUGUCUUGGCUAUAUGCACCAUUGCCCUCUACUGGCCAGGAGCAGAGCUAUGAUGGGUCCUUCCUGAGGCAAAGUAGCUCACCUUCCAGAAGCUACUUCAGCUCUGUGAAAAUAACAGCCACACCAAGAUGCCUUCUUUACUCUCAGAAUGGAGCCAGGGAUUUGCAGUAGCACUAAGUUAAGGACAGCUGCCCCUCUACAAGUCUGUACUUCCCACUUGGAUAACCUCUUCAUGGUGCCAUUGUUUAUUAUCCAAAGUGUGCUUGAACCAUAUAUUUUUAAAAAGUGGUUUUAUGUUGCCAUAUUUCUAGGCAAUUUUUUACUGUAAAAACAGAGAAAUGCUUAACCUGCUGGAAAAACAGCACGAUGAGCUGUAGGCAAUCCAGGAGGUUCCUGGAAGGCAUCAAGAAUAACUUAUUAAGCCAAACAAUAGACAGCCCCACCAGGAAGGAUGCAAUACCUGUUGCUUAUCAAUGCAAGUGAGUUGGUUAGUGAUGUCAUUGGAAGUUGUCUGUGCUGUAGUGCUCAUGCUGUGAUGAAGCUCACACUCCCAAGGGAUAUGGGACAGUUAAAGAGUAAAAUUAGGGUGCUAGCUUUUAGAAAAGCCAAACUCCAGCUUUUCAGGGUCAACAGAACUCCCUGGGAAAUAAGGACAAGGGAGUAGAGUGCAGAUGGCUUAAGGAAGCUUUCCUCAGGGCACAACAGGUCUCCAUCGCCAGGUGUAGGAAGUCAGGAAAGGAAGGCAAGAAGACUGACAUGGCUGAACCAGAACCUGCUUGCCAAACUGGAGAGCAAGAAGAAAAUGCACAGCAGUGGACACGGGGACAGGUAACCUGGGAGGAGUGUAUGAAUGCUACUAAGCUGAGUAGGUAUAGAGUCAGAAAGGCCAAGGCCCAGCUGAAACUAGACUUGAUAAGGGUGCAAAGAAGAACAGGAAAGGCUUCUACAGGUAUGUCAACCAGAAGAGUAAAGUUCAAGGUGUUUCCCCCCCUCUGCCUAGUGAGCAAUACAGACAGGCUGGUAACAAGGAAAAGGCUGAGGUAUUCAACUCCUUUGCCUCUGCUCUUCAUGCAUUCCAUUGAGAGGAUGUUCAGAAAUUGAGGGCUGUAGGAGCAUGUCCCUCCUAGUGUAUGUGAAGAUCAGGCUCACAACUGUAUGAGGAAGCUGAACAUCCAGGAGUCUAUAGAUCCUGACAAAAUGUGUCCUAGAGUCCUGAGGGAAACAGCUACUGUAGUCACCAAGACACUCUCAGUGGUAUUUGGGAAAUCCUGGCAGCCAGAUGAAGUCUCUGGUGACUGGAAAAAAGGAAAUGUCUCAUCCAUUUUUAAGAAGGAUAUAAAGGAUGACCUGGCUUCACCUGUGUGCCAGAAAAGAUUGUGGAGCAGAUCCUCCUGGAAGCUAUGCUAAGGACAGGCUCUAAGUAAUUUGAUGUAGCUGUAGAAGUUUAUUGCAGGGUAGCUGGAUUAGAUAACAUUUAAAGGUCCCUUUCCACUCAAACCAUUCUUUGAUCCUAUGCUUAUACAGUUAUCUUCUGGCUGAUCAGCAGUAAUACAUUAAAUCACACUGAAAAAUUACAGUCAAUUUCUGAACGUUAUUUUCUUUUUUUUUUUUUUUAGUAGCACUGCAGUGACUUUGA